rnacentral:rRNA from 1 species
GGAGGGUGCGAGCGUUAAUCGGACUUACUGGGCGUAAAGGGCGCGUAGGUGGUUAGAUAAGUUUGAUGUGAAAUAUCAGGGGCUUAACCCUGAGGAGUCAUCGAAAACUGUUUGACUAGAGUACAAGAGAGGUCAGCGGAAUUUCCGGUGUAGCGGUGAAAUGCGUAGAUAUCGGAAGGAACACCAGUGGCGAAGGCGGCUGGCUGGCUUGAUACUGACACUGAGGCACGAAAGCGUGGGUAGCAAACAGGAUUAGAUACCCUGGUAGUCCACGCCGUAAACGAUGAGUACUAGCCGUUGGCUUUUUCGGAAGCAAGUGGCGCAGCAAACGCAUUAAGUACUCCGCCUGGGGAUUACGGCCGCAAAGGCUAA